GGCACCUUGGGAUUGGUGCAGACGAAUAGGUCGGGAACCACCGGCUUGCACUGUGCGGUCUUAGUGCCCCGGGCAACUUCCAAGCUGCGAGUACCAUCUCAUCCAGAGUGAAGUCAAAGGGUUCAAAGUCUUUCCGGAAGCGGCGAGCCAGGGCUUCCUCCUCAUCCUUACUGGUUUGACACUGCCUCCAGUCGGCCUUCUCAGGAAUGUUGAGAAUAGCUUCACUGGCCAGGACCUCCCUGCAGAGAGUAAAGAAGAGAAAAUGGGAGCAGUAGUUGAAAGCCACCCUUCCUGUGCUCCUCUUCAGCCGCCAGCUCACCUCAGCGCCAUCUAAAGAGUGUGCAGACUGCUCACAGCUCCUACCAGUCUCCUGCCGUGACUACAUCUCCACCAUCCUAUCUAUUGAAAUCGUUGCCAUAUUAAGUGUCCUCUCCCACCCCAUUUAUUUCCUUUUCUGGAACAACUUGGAACCACAAUAUUAAUACUUAGGGAAGGAGUACCACAUGCAAGCUAGAGGACAGCCCCUGGUGUCAGAGAAGUCAGAGGCAGAGCUGCAGCCACGCCUGGUACUCCAUCCAUGCCUAUGAUUGACUGCCAUUCCAGCUCUGAGCCCUGAUUUCCUCGCUUACAAGAUCACCUUCCUUAUAGCACUUAGUACAGAAGCUGCGGAAUCGAAGCCCAUGCCCAGCUGCGACUCCACCUCGCCUUAAGCUCUGGUUUUCACAGACAGAGUAGACUGAGAUUGCUGAGGCAUGCAUGGUUCGGAGUCACGUGUUAAACCCAUUCUGACUUAAGUUCUACUUGUCCUCCUCGCCCCAUCAUUUGUAUGAGUACACAAGAGAAGUUCAAUGUGAAGAAAACAACAUAUAUAGACACAUACACAAGCAGCCUCUAAGUUCUGUGUUUUUACUUUUAACUUACUUUAAUACAUUAGAAACAAUUCUACUUGGCUCAUUUCAACUUUGAAGGUAUAGUAAGUAGAAAAGGCAGAAAUGAAUCAUAGCGCUCCUCUGAAGUCAAAGGACCUGAACUCAAACUUGGGUUUGCCUGGCAAACCAUGUGCAUUGGUUCUUCAUAUGUAAAAUACAACCAUUUUCCCUAUUAAGUA